GACGAGAAGAGCUUUGUUUGUGUGAAGAAAGUUUUCUUUUUUUUUGAAGUUUGAGCUCUUUAAGAUCCAAUUACUACCCCCGCACCCAAGUAACAGUGAAAGAAGAGAACAACAUCACUCAAAACAUCUUUAUUGAGGGACAAAACAGAGAAAGAGAAAGAGGAGAGAGGGAGAAGUCUCUCUCUCAAUUGUUGUAGUGUUUUUCUAGAGAAGGGUGUAACAAGGAAGAGUAAUAGAUUGUGUUGAUAAAAGGGUUUCAUCAUCACCAUCAUCAUCAUGAGUAACUGGUUGGGGUUUUCUCUGACUCCACACCUAAGAAUCGAUGAAAGCUUUGGCAGAGAAGACCAUGGAGGUUUCUCUUCCGUCAUGCCUUUGCGUUCCGAUGGCUCUCUUUGCGUUGUUGACCCUUUUCGUCGCUCCUCUAACGGCGCCGAAGAUUGGAGAUAUGAAAACAAUAUUGGCGGUGCAACUGAAAGUGAGGACGGUCCCAAACUUGAAGAUUUCUUGGGGUGUUGUUACUCAAACUCUCCAUCUGAGGAGACCAAAGGUUAUGGCCAAACCCAAGAGGACCAAAACCAAAACAUUGUUUCAACUAGAAUCAAUGUCAAUGUAGCACCAGGCUAUAACACUAAUGGGGGUAUGGAAGGUGGAGAGACUUUAACAAAUCCAUCUUCUUUGAUCCAAACUUACCAAUACAACGAAAACCCUCAAACCCUAAUGGCUAAUGACAGCCUCCAACAGUGUGACCCAAACCCUAACCAGAACCAUAACCAUAACCAUAACAAUGGCAUGUACCAUGUGCCUUUCGAGAGUGCAACUUCGGUUUCAGGGUUCAAAUCCUGGUUGAGACAAACGCCAUUUUCAGAUGGGAAAGCUUCGAGUGAAGCAAGUAAUCAUUGCAACUUUCAGACACUCUCCCUUACCAUGAGCCCAAGCUCCCAAAAUGGGACGAUGGCUGCAAUUGCGCCAUUGGAAGGGGUUGAUAACCGUAAACGACCUGUUGGGAAGAGCCUUGCCAGAGAACCAGUUCCUCGCAAAUCUAUUGAUACUUUUGGUCAACGAACUUCUCAAUAUCGUGGUGUUACGAGGCAUAGAUGGACCGGAAGAUAUGAGGCUCACUUAUGGGAUAAUAGCUGUAGGAAAGAGGGACAAACAAGGAAAGGGAGGCAAGUUUAUCUUGGCGGUUAUGAUAAGGAAGAGAAAGCAGCAAGGGCUUAUGACUUAGCUGCUCUGAAGUAUUGGGGUCCAACAACUCAUAUAAAUUUUCCUUUGAGUACUUACGAGAAGGAGCUGGAAGAGAUGAAGAACAUGACCCGUCAAGAAUUUGUAGCUCAUUUGAGAAGAAAAAGCAGUGGUUUUUCGAGAGGAGCUUCAGUGUACAGAGGAGUGACAAGGCACCAUCAGCAUGGAAGGUGGCAAGCUAGAAUCGGAAGGGUUGCUGGAAACAAGGACUUGUACCUUGGAACAUUUAGCACACAAGAAGAAGCAGCUGAAGCUUAUGAUAUUGCUGCAAUUAAGUUUAGGGGGACAAGUGCUGUAACCAACUUUGACAUAAGUAGGUAUGAUGUUAAGAGAAUUUGCUCAAGCUCUACUCUUAUUGGGGGUGACCUUGCAAAACGCUCACCAAAAGACUCUGCCCCGAUUGCUCUCGAGGAUUAUAAUUCGUGUGCUUCAUCAACAUCAGCUCAACCGCUUCUAGCUAUAUCAAACGGUGAAGCAUCUCGCGAAGUGGCUGACAUGGUUUGGAAUGCAAAUUCAGAUGAUAAUCGGCAGUAUCAAAGUAGUAACACUAACAAUGACGCAUCCUUGGCAACUUCAAAUGGCCGUAAUUCCUCUAACCCCCAAAGUCCAAAAUGCUCAGUUGGAUUAGCUAGUGAGUUUGGCAUUGGUGGAGACUACACUCAAGGCUACUUCUCAUUAGAGGGUCCAAAGUUCGAAGAUGGCAGCAAUGGGACUGAAAAUUCAAAUGAAAACCGGCUGGGGAGUUUGGGUAUGGUUCAUCAGGUUCCAAUGUUUGCGCUUUGGAACGAGUGAGAUGCAGUCAAUUGUUUAAGAAUUUGAGAGGCACUGAUUGAUGAUAGAGAAGUGGUUUAGUUUCAGCAUAGAAAACUAGAAAGAGGGUAGGAUAUGUCACACAGAAUAGAAUGGAUUCAAUGGUCUUUAGAUGUUUUGGUUUCAAUAUGAAUUCACCGUUCUCUACCUUAUCAAAGUAUAAUGGAAAGAUUACCAAACUCUCAAGAAAACAUGGGUGAUUUUCAUGGUAUCCUAAUACACCCUAGCAAGGAAUCUAGCGA